UUUAAUUUCUUCUUCCUUCCUCUUCCAUACGUGUAAGUUGAGGCAUUUUUGAGAGUGACAAAUGUUCAAAUAUUUCUUUCUCUCUUCAUGACUCAUCUAUUUAAAUAAUCCCUAUAAAUAGCUUCUUUUGUUCGGUUAUCUGCAACACCAAAACCAAGCUCAAACAUGAGAUAAAAACUCCAUUGUUAUACAUAUUUAAGCUAACCUUUCUGAUUUCUUUUCUCCAUUAUUUUGGUUCUUCAAUUCAACCAUUAAUUUUGCUACCCAAUUUUGUCUUUCCUCUGUUUGAUCGACCACCGCGGCACUGCCUCCGCUUCCACCACCUUGUGCCGGCGACUUAUUCAUGCCACCCAGCUGCCACCCUUCUCGGCCUCCUCUAAUACGCCGCAUCGUCGAGAUGACGGUGCAGCGCCUUCAGUUGCUUCGAUGCUUUCCUGCUAUAUUGUUUUCAUUUUCAUCUUCUGUCAAAAAGCAAUUCAUAAGGGAAAAGGGGUUGUAAUGUGGGCCUUGUAAUUUUACUAGCAACAAUUAUUAUGGGAGUGGUGGACUAUGAUUUUUAGAGCAAAUACAAAUAUGGGCCAGCAAGUUACGAAUAAAAAGACUAGUUAUCACGUGGAUUAUUAAAUUAAUUAUGGGGCUUAUGGAUGUCGAUAAUUUCGGAUUCAAGGAAAGAGUAUGAACAGUUGAGGUUCGGUUAAGGAGCUAGAGUUGCUCAAGAGAAAAGUUAUUACUGGAGUUGGUAGUUUAUUAUGGAGAUAUCGAGAUGAGAAAUAUUUAUUAUGGAAAUCUUGUUAUUGAGGUUGUUAUAAGAAUAUUGAUUUAUAAUUAUUUUUUGGAAAAGUUGUAUUAUUUCUGGAAUGUUAUUAAGGAUUAUUUUAUUUGUGGGCCCAUACCCACAGG